UUCCUCUCUCCCUCUCGGCCGCAUCCUCUCUCUCUCUCUCCCUCCACGACCUCUCGCUCUCUCUCUUCUUCUUCCCUCUGCAAGCGCCGGAAGCCACCACCUUGCAACACCGACUCCACCCUUAGAACCAGCACCCAAAUCCGAUCAAAGCCCAGCCAUUUCGCCACCGAUUGAAAGCUCCUAACCACCACAUGCAUGCCUGGAAAGCUACGACACCACUGCCCUUCCUCCUUCUUCUAUUUCCAACCAUCACCUCGCCACACCGACGCCACCGCCAGACUCAGCAAGCAACGAGGAGCAAAAACACAGAAGUUCUGCCACCCAUCGAGGAUGGACGACGCCGCACGCACAUCGCCAGAGUCAUGGCCCUGCUUGUCUCUAUUCCUCGACUUCCGGCAAGUUCAGGCCACACCACCACUAUAAAUGAGUUCAGGGUAUCACGAUUUGCCAUAGCCCUCUAACUCCGACCCCCCAAAUCCGGCCAGAGCCGCCGCUGGCAUGUGGGUCACCCAUUGCCUCCGUGAACCACCUUAUCACCACAGUGCAAACUGCCAACUUGCUUAGCUCAUUGUGGGUAAGCUCAAGUCGAAACCUUUUUCCCCAUACUGGUCAAGUUCUGUUGGAAAAGUUAUGGACAUUGAUCUUCAAAUCCCUAACUCUGUCAUUUAAUUGGGAUUGUAUGAGGUUUUGUGGAGUCUGCGAAUUUGGGAUUUCGGGAGAGGAUAAGCUCUUGAGUCUGUUUCGAUUGAAGUAGGAAAUGGGAUCAGAAUGGAUGAAGAUGGUGGGAAUGCAGCUAUGCUGACUCAAGUCUCUGUUUGGAAAAAAAGAAAUGGACUCGAGCGUGUGCACAUAAAAUUGGAAGGAGUAUUGAAAGUCGGAAACGAAACUAAGUUUGUGCGAGCACUCCAAUUCCAGCGGUUAUUCCUGCAGGUGAGGACCACCAGGGCUGAGUACGAGGGCGCGGUUGCAGCAGUGUAGGUUUAGAACCUAUUUUUGUUAGUGUACUGCUGUUUUUGGUAUGCUCCUAGCGAGCGUUUACAUUUGUAUAUCAGUUCUCUCGAGUUUUGUAAACACUUGUUGAUGUGAUAUUCAACUUAAGUGAUCGAGUCUUUAUUGACGUUUUGAUGUUCCUUAGAUUAAAUGGGAAAAAUUUUCUUUGCAAUUUCGAGAA